CUCAUAAAAAUGCACUCCGCUCACCCCGCCAGCUACACCUCACUUUUACCCCCUUUGGUUUUCCUUUCCUCAUCCUCUCGUUCACCCUGAACUUCCCUUCGUCCCCUCUCUCCCGUGCAGACGGCGGCGGGUCACAGCCCUCUGAUGUUGCGGGGGCCGACAGAGGUCACGGCAGCCAUAUUCUCUUAAUGGCGGAGUCACCGGAGUCAACAAGGCAUGGGUGGCCUGCGAGGCCUCUGCAACCUCCACCUCUCCCCGGUAAAGAGUCGAGUAAACUCGCCACGAAGCGACGAAGUGGCGGAGGCGGCAGCGUCGCUCUGCGCAGCGACUGCGCCGUGUCGGGCACAGAGUGCAGAGGACGUGAGCCACGUGUGGAAGAGUCAGUGUGUUUGCACUUGAGUCCGCUCUUGAUCCCUUGGGCAGAGCCUCGACACACACACACACACACACACACACACACACACACACAAACACACACCUACACACACACACACACACACACUCUCCUAUAUGUUCGCACACGCUCAACAGGCCUUGGCGGAUGCAGAGGAGGGAGCACUCGAGCCUCGACGGCGUGUGACGAAUAACUGCAGCAGCCUUGACACGCAGAAUGACUCCACGGUGAACCCGCCUGUGACUCUGUGCUGCUGCUGCUGCUGCUGCUGCUGCUAGACACAGUUCUUCUUUCUUCACAGCAGAGCUACGACAGGAAGAAAAUCACGUAAAACCUUUGGUUCACAUUCACGGUUUAAUUGAAUCAUGCGGCAUGUAAGGUCGCGAUACGGCGUGAGAGCUCACAAGUGGCAUGCUGCUGAAGAUAAGUGACACAAGGCUCACACGUAUAGAUUUUUUGAUCAUUAUAUCGGUAAACUACUAAUACUACCACUAAUCCAUAUACGCCGAGAUGGGAUGUCUUCAAUACAAAAUUCUAAAAAUAAUCUAGAGAAAAUGUCCAAUGUCCUUGAUUGGCUUUUACUCCACCGUGCAUCUCAAACUGCUGCAUGAGCAAGAAUUAUUAAAACUGGAAAAUCAA